CAAGGGUGUAAGGACGUUAUGGUGAGAUUAUUAUUCACUAAGCAUAGAAAAACAUUCAAAUGAAUUUGACUAUUAACUAUACCUUUUGUACUCGACUUAAAACACUAUUGCAGGAUUCCAAACAGCCGUGCUGAUGAAGCUGGAAACAAUUAUCGAGAACCAGGUGGAACUCCUGGCAAUUCAGCAACAGCUACUGGAGCGUAGGACCUGCCAGACGAAGUCCUGCAUAGACCUUGUAGGACCAAGGAGGAGUUGGAGGACCUCUGCAAGAGUCUUGAGGAGGCUACCACAAGAUGGAAAGAGAUGAUUCAUUACUUCCCUUCCUUGGGGGGAAGGGACCUCAAAACCAUGGUGCGCAAGGUCCUCUGCAAAAUUGAGAGGGAGGAGGGUGAAGCGGUCCUUCCAGGACCUGGAGCGUGCCAACUUAACUUCAAAAAAGUUAAGAAUACUGAAGUGGAGGAGGUCAUUGGAGCCCUACUGAAGAUGGCGCCCCACCGAAAUGGAGGGAAGAAACAGAAACGGGUUUGGUUUCACAAUACAGAACAAAAACUGAGCUAAGCUGUACUGGGCUGGUGUAGUUGCACAUUGAACACAGUUGUAACAUCAGUCCUAGGGUUCUAAUUAGCGACUUGAUACCUGGUUUACCAAUAGACUGUUUUUGACGCACCUCUCCAUCUCCUUCAUGACUCCUCCUUUCAUCAAACGAGAUUUGCCUUUCCUCCUUAUCCUGCUGGUCUAGCAAAUGGUUUAACUUGUUCAGAUAAAAAUUAAAGGACCAGCACUCACUUGAUAGGAUUUGCAGUUAAAGCUUCGUGUUUAUUUUCUUAAAUUCAAAGUAGCAGGAUAAAGACUUCCCCUCCUUGAUCCUUUGAUUGCAGAAUUUGAUGCAUCACAACCAAUGUCACUGCUACACAGAAAGUAAUCAUCCUCAGUGCGCUUUCUGCGCUGUGCAGUUUUCUUGAAUCCCGACCACAGACUGUCAAAAUGGCACCAACAGUCAGUGACAAUUAUUUGGCCCAAGUGGUGACUGUCUUUCCCGUUCAGGGUUCUGCUGAGGUCCUGCUCCCAGUCUGCUUUCUGACCAAUACAGCAUUUUCUCUCUCAUCACCUUUGUGUGUAUGUGACAUUAUUUGUGUUAUGUCCUGGUUCUCUACCUCAGGGGUUCAGCUCCAGACCCACAUUA